rnacentral:rRNA from 1 species
GCGGCCCCGGAGCCCUUUAGCUUGAUCUGGGACAUCCGCCUACCUCUGAAGAUCAGGAUUUUCCUGUGGCAAUGGAUCCGUGGACGCCUCCCCUCUGGGGUUGAAGUCCUAAAGCGUAACGGCCCGGGCGAUGGGAUAUGUCCCAUCUGUGGGACGAUCGAGGAUGCUAACCACAUCUUCUUCUCGUGCUCUACUGCCCAGUUCCUGUGGGCUUGCUUCCGCGAAACGGUCGGUGGACGGUGGUGCAAUACAAACUUCCCCGACUUACUUGCGGAGCUCAACGCUUCCCCUACCCGCUACCGCCAUAUUAGAUGGCUGUGCGUUGGGGUUCUCGCCUAG